AUUUAAAUAGUUUAAUUAAAGAAUAAUAAUUUGUGGCAUUAUAGGUAUAUUUAUAUUUUAAAUC
rnacentral:tRNA from 1 species